AUGGUUACAAGAGUCUGCCUCAGGGGAACGUAAACACCUAGCGCUGGCAACAGGCACAGCGAGCACUGAGGGUUUCCAGAAAAUGAUGAGGAAAAAGGAAGGAAGAAUGGGCAGAGAAGAAAAUGGAAGAGGGAGAAGGGCCUGAAGAGAUCAGAGAUGAGAAUGGAACUAUCAGACAACUCCACAGUCCUGCAACUAAAGGCACUUCCUCUGGAAACCUAAAUAAGCAGGCUCUGGACAUACAUACAAACCAUGGGAAUUCAAUAAUUACAAAACUGGUAUCUUUUUUUGGCAGUUUUCAGUAUGUCCUUUUGGUGCAUGAUAAACCUAUUCUGGAGUAGGGCAGUUAAGACUGAAAGCUUCAGAUGAACAAUACUGCAAACCAAAUGUUAUUUAUUAGUAAGAGUGGCCUAAUAUUUAAAAGACAAAAGUUACUCCCAAGAUAUAAUGUAAUUAUAAAGCAAUUGUAUCCUUUUCAAAGUAUAAAUAAUGAAAAAAAAUCAACAACUGCACCAGUGUUUGUGCCUAAAUUGCAAACAAAAGUUUAUGGAAAAAGCUCUAGAUAGAUAGAUUCCAAAGUUACAUUAGAAAUAUAUGCUGUGUAGUUUUGUUCUGCUCACAGAUGGAAUAGACCUAUUAGCGACAUGACACUUUUGAAACUGAAAGUUAAUUGAUAACUAAAUUAAAAUUUCAGUUCCUCCACAUCACUAGCCCCACUAAAAAUAUUUCAUAGCCACGUGUGCUAGUGGAUGCCAUAUUGGACAGCACAGACAAAACAGGUCCAUUAUCACAGAGAGCUCCACUGGAAAGCACUGAUUUGGAAACUAAAAUUAUAAGUAACUAUGCCCUCUCUUCUAAUAUAUAUCCUUGCUGAUCUCAUUCCAUUGAAAAUCAAACAGCAUUUAGCAGAAAGCUAAAUAUAUACUCUUGCUACGAAGAGGACAAUGAAAAGGAAGAAACAGGAGGUGUUCAAUGUUGGGCCAGAUAUUCUUAAAAAGCAAAACAAAAUUUAAAAGGUUCACUGCAUAUCUAGAUUUAAAAAACCCUAAAAUCCAAAUUACUUGAAAUUAUGUUUAGCGGACUAGAUAAAAGGUAUUGAUGUGGUUCUCCUAGCAAGAAAGCACUCUUUAAAGAACAUAAAAUUAUUUAACAACUGUUAAUAUAAAUCUUCCAUCUGUUUAAUCUUACUAGACUCAUUAUAACAGCAUUUUGUUGAAACAUCAAUCACGAUUCUGUCUUAUCACCUAUCUCAAAUACCAUUUACUUCUAAAUCUGGUCAUAGUUUCCCUUGAUUAGUGUUUACUGAAAUUUCAAAAAGCUUACCCACUGAAAAAAUUUACCAGGUCUACCUCUACUGUAAUGGUCAGUAAGAUUCAUCCACUCAGCUGGCCAAAUUUCAGGCUCCUGUUUUCUUGGGGAAGGAAUGAGAGAGCUUUCUGUAGGCACGAAGUAGUUUUUCUCCUAUUUCCAAAAUUUGUUCCCACUACCAUACUCACAAUAUCUGCAGGGCCUACAAG